CUAGCAGACGACGACAAUAAUAAGACUAGAACAAUUACCAAAAAGCUCCCUGGUAUAUUUAUAAAUUUUGCAAGUGUUAUCUCUGGUAAGAAGAAAAGCAUAACCAAAAGCGACAAGCAAGUUUGUUUCCUGAAAGACUUGUAAACUUAAAAAAAGAUUACGUGGACAUCAACAAGACAAUGAAGAGCUUGUGUUGAGUGGUUUACUCAGAGAAGCUUCGGAAGCAGCAGUUUGUCUUACACCAAUACCCAAGCUCUUCUGGUUUGAUUGUUGAUUGAUUGUGGUUUGUGCAGUGACAGUUUGCCACAACUUUCCAUUGAGUAUUGCUUAACUUAACCAUUCACUUUGGUUAAAGGAAACUGUAUAGCUCGUAAUGGAGCUAUGUAUAUGUAAUGAAGGGGGAAAAGUUGAUUUGAGAAGAACAGACACGCUUCAGUUUGCCCACAAUCCCCUUCCUUCCUCAUUCUGAUCCAAGAGGACCGUCUCUUCAUCAUCAUUCUCUUCGUUAACCUCGUCAUUGUAAUCCGCCUCAUCCUCUGAAAACCAGAUUUGGGAUCCGUCGAUCCCGUCAAUCGAAGGAUCCCACCCGCCUUCCUCUUCUUCAUCUUCACCUUCUCCGUCCUUUCUCUCCUCAGCUUCAUCUUCACCUUCUCUGUCCUUUCUCUCCUCAGCUUCAUCUUCACUUUCUCCGUCCUUUCUCUCCUCAACUUCAUCUU